GAACACAAAAUGGCGACACGUGGUUAGCAUUCGUCGCCAACGAGAAAUUGGGGUCGGCCCGAAAGCUCUAGAAUGCACCCCUCUUCCUCCCCGGGGCCUUCCACCUCCGCGAGUUUUAUGACUUAAAAAAGCCCACAGGCUGGUCUGAAGACUUCCUAGCAUGGGCUGUUGUGCUGGAGAGAACGAGAGCUACGAAGAGACUACAGUGCCUCUGACUUUUUCAUAGGACAGUUGGCCGAGGAAGACAAACAUAAAGAUGAAGUGCUUAAUUCAAGGUCACACAAUGUCGGGGAUGGACCUCCAGAUUUCCUUACUGACCUGCAUUAUCUUGUGGAUACCUGAGUGAAUUCCACACCACCCAUUUUAUAGAUGAAACCACUGAGACAUGGAGCAAUUGACUGAGUAGUCACUGCCCCACCCCUGCCUGGAGCCUCACACAUGACUCGCCUCCUCUCAGUGACCACAG
rnacentral:lncRNA from 1 species